rnacentral:snRNA from 1 species
GCCCUUCCAAUGUACACAUACCAAAAUUGGAACGAUACAGAGAAGAUUAGCAUGGCACCUGCACAAGGAUGACACGCAAAAUCGUGAAGCGUUCCACAUUUUC